rnacentral:rRNA from 1 species
AGAGUUUGAUCCUGGCUCAGGAUAAACGCUGACAGAAUGCUUAACACAUGCAAGUCUAUGAGGAAGUUUAGCUUGCUAAAUGGACUCAUGGCGGACGGGUGAGUAACGCGUAAAGAACUUGCCCUUUAGACUGGGAUAACAGAGGGAAACUUCUGAUAAUACUGGAUAAGUUAGUAGUAGCAUUACUAAGUAAUGAAAGGUAGCAAUACGCUAUAUGAGAGCUUUGCAUCCUAUUAGCUAGUUGGUGGGGUAAAAGCCUACCAAGGCGAUGAUAGGUAGCCGGCCUGAGAGGGUGGACGGCCACAAGGGGACUGAGAUACGGCCCUUACUCCUACGGGAGGCAGCAGUGGGGAAUAUUGGACAAUGGAGGCAACUCUGAUCCAGCAAUUCUGUGUGUGUGAAGAAGGUUUUAGGACUGUAAAACACUUUUAGUAGGGAAGAAAGAAAUGACGGUACCUACAGAAGAAGCGACGGCUAAAUACGUGCCAGCAGCCGCGGUAAUACGUAUGUCGCGAGCGUUAUCCGGAAUUAUUGGGCUUAAAGGGCAUCUAGGCGGUUAAACAAGUUGAAGGUGAAAACCUGUGGCUCAACCAUAGGCUUGCCUACAAAACUGUUGAACUAGAGUACUGGAAAGGUGGGUGGAACUACACGAGUAGAGGUGAAAUUCGUAGAUAUGUGUAGGAAUGCCGAUGAUGAAGAUAACUCACUGGACAGCAACUGACGCUGAAGUGCGAAAGCUAGGGGAGCAAACAGGAUUAGAUACCCUGGUAGUCCUAGCUGUAAACGAUGAUCACUGGGUGUGGGGAUGCGAAGUCUCUGUGCCGAAGCAAAAGCGAUAAGUGAUCCGCCUGGGGAGUACGUUCGCAAGAAUGAAACUCAAAGGAAUUGACGGGGGCCCGCAC